CGGGGUGAGUAAUGUAUGGGGAUCUGCCUGAUGGCGGGGGAUAACUACUGGAAACGGUAGCUAAUACCGCAUAAUGUCUGCGGACCAAAGCGGGGGACCUCCGGGCCUCGCGCCAUCAGAUGAACCCAUAUGGGAUUAGCUAGUAGGUGGGGUAACGGCUCACCUAGGCGACGAUCCCUAGCUGGUCUGAGAGGAUGACCAGCCACACUGGAACUGAGACACGGCCCAG
rnacentral:rRNA from 1 species